rnacentral:misc_RNA from 1 species
AAAGUGCGAUAUGUACUGCGCUGUGCGCGAAAUGCGCAGUCAUUCUUCGAAUACACAUUGUCCUGUCUGGCGAAUAGCCGGCAGGGCAUCUGCUUCAGGGUUGUUGAUUAGUUUUGCGUUGGCGUCGCCUCAGGGCUUCAGCACUUCGCUUUUUGGGGGGUCACCACCACGCGUGUCCCCCCGUAUUUGUGUCCUCGAUGCUCUUGCUUCUGUGGACUUGCGUGUUUGGCAGUCUGGUUCAUUGCUUGCAUUGUUCCGUGUAUUGCUUCUCCCUUUUAUCCUUCUCUACCCGACCUGAAGUCAGGUGUGACUACCCGCUGAACUUAA